rnacentral:rRNA from 1 species
UAGGCGCACGGGUGAGUAACACGUGACUAACCUACCCUCGAGUGGGGAAUAACCUAGAGAAAUCUGGGCUAAUACCGCAUAACACUUACGAGUCAAAGCAGCAAUGCGCUUGAGGAGGGGGUCGCGGCAGAUUAGCUAGUUGGCGGGGUAAUGGCCCACCAAGGCAAUGAUCUGUAUCCGGCCUGAGAGGGCGCACGGACACACUGGAACUGAAACACGGUCCAG